rnacentral:rRNA from 1 species
GACGAACGCUGGCGGCGUGCUUAACACAUGCAAGUCACGGGGGCCCGCAAGGGUAACCGGCGAACGGGUGCGUAACACGUGAGCAAGCUUCCGAUUAGUGGGGGAUAGCCGGCCUAACGGCCGGGUAAUACCGCAUACGACCACUGGGUGGCAUCACCUGGUGAGGAAACCUCCGGGGCUAAUCGAGGCGCUCGCGGCCUAUCAGCGAGUUGGCGGGGUAAUGGCCCACCAAGGCUAUGACGGGUAGCUGGUCUGAGAGGAUGGCCAGCCACAUUGGGACUGAGACACGGCCCAGACUCCUACGGGAGGCAGCAGUGGGGAAUAUUGCGCAGUGGACGAAAGUCUGACGCAGCGACGCCGCGUGUGGGAUGAAGCCUUUCGGGGCGUAAACCACUGUUGCCCGGGACGAAUCUCCCCUUUCGAGGGGAUUGACGGUACCGGGUGAGGAAGCACCGGCUAACUCUGUGCCAGCAGCCGCCGUAACAC